GGGGUUGUGGCUCAGAGGUAGAGUGCAUGCCUAGCAUGCACGAGGCACUGGGUUUGAUCCUCAGCACCCCA
rnacentral:tRNA from 1 species